GCUCAGCCAGCCUGCCGAGCAGAACGGGGCCGUGGGGUCUGUGGUUCCCAGGCAGGGCCCCCCACAGGGGGUUCCGGUGCCCAGCCACCUCCCCCUGUACCCAGCCACAGCACUCGGGCUGCACUGACCAUGCCUGUGCUGUUCCCAGCUUUAGCCAGGGCCCCCUGAAGGAUGCACCCAACCUCAUCUGCACCCCCCAUGCUGCAUGGUACAGCGAGCAGGCGUCCAUCGAGAUGCGAGAGGAGGCGGCACGGGAGAUCCGCAGGGCCAUCACAGGCCGGAUCCCAGACAGCCUGAAGAACUGUGUCAACAAGGACCAUCUGACGGCCGCCACCCACUGGGCCAGCAUGGACCCCGCCGUCGUGCACCCUGAGCUCAACGGGGCUGCCUAUAGCAGGUACCCUCCGGGCGUGGUGGGCGUGGCCCCCACUGGCAUCCCAGCUGCUGUGGAAGGUAUCGUCCCCAGCGCCAUGUCCCUGUCCCACGGCCUGCCCCCUGUGGCCCACCCACCCCACGCCCCUUCUCCUGGCCAAACCGUCAAGCCCG
rnacentral:sRNA from 1 species